CACAGGUUUAGUUGCUCCUUGCGUGCCACUCUCAGCUGACAGCCAGUUUGUUGGUACCGUGCUUUGACUCCUUCUUCCUCAUCUCCCAGGAGAAGCUUAGCCACGAGUUUGCAAUGGAGGGGGCACAUCCAUAGGCAAAGAUCGAGGACAGUGCCCUCGACGGCAUGCUGCUGGUGGCCUGAGUACUAUCGGUCAGUGAGGAGAAACACAUGUCGACCCCUUCUUGACAGGUAACAACUUCUUGGUGUCUCUCUCAUCUCCCCCACUCUCCCUUCCUUCCUCGCCAUCACAUCCCAAAUCAAGAGGCAAACCGUCGCAACCCCGUUCAAGUUAUUAUUUGUAUGCCACCACAUUCGGUCAGUCAAAAUUCAUACUUGGCAGGGCAUCUUCGAUGGCCCGUCUGCCUCAUCGGCGUACAACAGGGGUGCGGAGAGAUCCUGACCAGCUCAACAGACAACCCCACUCACUCCUUCUGCAACAUAAGAUUUCCAGGCAAACUCUAAUCUCCACUGCCAGUAAUUUGUUCUCUACUAUCACCAUCCAUCUCUCACUAUUCUCUAUGGUUCACGUAAAAGAGGUUUUUCUGCAUUGUUUAUUUGUAUUAGAUGAUUAUUAGUACAUUAGGAAGUUGUGGUAGCUUCCACACCCUUUAUAUGAACUCUGGGAGGAUUUUUAUUCAGAUGUGAUUUGCUUGACCUGUGCAGAUGUGUAGACCUUCCCCAUUUUAUCUCAAUAUAGCCCACUGUUUCUAAUUGGUAUUCAUUACAGUACUCUCGAGUUUGGUCAUUACAAUUGCCAUGUUUUACCAGCAUAAAUAAUUGCUUUUGUUGAUGUUUCCCCCUUCUGCCAUUGUUACCAUGCAUGUACUAUAAUUUUCAUUUGAACUAAUUUAUGAACGUGGAGCUCCUGAUUUGGUUUGACUGAGUCCCCUCUUUGGAACAAUCCAUCGCUACUACCUCAUGAUUAUGGUGUAUAUAUACGGCAAAUGUGUUUCUCUAUUUACAUUGGUAAAACAUGCAUUUAGUUGUACUGGCCAAGAAUAGUUCUCUGAUUAAUAAUGCUAUAGUUUGUUGUUGACUACUUCUACCUUCUUAUCUCUCAUGUUGUUUUACCAGUAUUCUUCCUUCUUAUCUCUCCUGUUGGUUUUGCUUCCUAGAACCACAAUUCUCAUUACAAAGCAUCUCUGUCUCUCUCUGACAGUUACUCUUUCCAUUGUCUUGGCUUGCAGGUCACCGCUUGAGUCAGACGAGGUCAUGGUUACCUUACCUGGUGAGUUACUGUCCAUGAAGACCACAAUCCACCAUCACCAUAUACCAGAUGGCGCCAUCAAGGACGUCGUCGUACUAACCGCCGAUGACCUAUAUCCUUUCUCUUUCCCUCAUAAUUUGCAGAAUGGAAGUGACCUGAAAGCCACUUGAAUGAAAUCCUGUGUCCUGGGAUGUGUCAAUGCCAUGAAUUAGAUCUCUGUAGUAUAUUUUUUGAUUGAAAUUUUUAUUGUGAUAUUGAGCAUGGUACAUUAGUGCAUGGAUUAGCAUUGCAGAAUGCAACUGUUCUGGUAUAUGAUGAUAUAUGUUUUGUGCAGACUAAGAAGGCUUUGUACUGAAUUUUUAUAGGCCACGCGUGACAAGCUGCCCUUACUAUGUUAUUAUUAAUCUUGAUGCUUUGUACAUUAUUUUUAUGCAAACCAGUUAUUUGCCUGGAUUGUCUUAUAUCGUAAAUCUUGAUGUCUUCUACUAGAUCUUGAUGCUCUCUAUCAAACCACUCCUGGAUUUUGAUGAUUUCUAUUGAUUCAUGUCCUGCUUUGUACAGUACUUUGUAUUGGAUUACAUCCUUGAUAAAUACCAGAUGGUGGAUCAUUCCUUUAG
rnacentral:lncRNA from 1 species